rnacentral:rRNA from 1 species
GAUGAACGCUGGCGGCGUGCCUAAUACAUGCAAGUCGAACGAGUUCUCGUUGAAUCUCGGUGCUUGCACCGAGAUUCAACAUGGAACGAGUGGCGGACGGGUGAGUAACACGUGGGUAACCUGCCCUUAAGUGGGGGAUAUCAUUUGGAAACAGAUGCUAAUACCGCAUAGAUCCAAGAACCGCAUGGUUCUUGGCUGAAAGAUGGCGUAAGCUAUCGCUUUUGGAUGGACCCGCGGCGUAUUAGCUAGUUGGUGAGGUAAUGGCUCACCAAGGCGAUGAUACGUAGCCGAACUGAGAGGUUGAUCGGCCACAUUGGGACUGAGACACGGCCCAAACUCCUACGGGAGGCAGCAGUAGGGAAUCUUCCACAAUGGACGCAAGUCUGAUGGAGCAACGCCGCGUGAGUGAAGAAGGCUUUCGGGUCGUAAAACUCUGUUGUUGGAGAAGAAUGGUCGGCAGAGUAACUGUUGUCGGCGUGACGGUAUCCAACCAGAAAGCCACGGCUAACUACGUGCCAGCAGCCGCGGUAAUACGUAGGUGGCAAGCGUUAUCCGGAUUUAUUGGGCGUAAAGCGAGCGCAGGCGGUUUUUUAAGUCUGAUGUGAAAGCCCUCGGCUUAACCGAGGAAGCGCAUCGGAAACUGGGAAACUUGAGUGCAGAAGAGGACAGUGGAACUCCAUGUGUAGCGGUGAAAUGCGUAGAUAUAUGGAAGAACACCAGUGGCGAAGGCGGCUGUCUGGUCUGUAACUGACGCUGAGGCUCGAAAGCAUGGGUAGCGAACAGGAUUAGAUACCCUGGUAGUCCAUGCCGUAAACGAUGAAUGCUAGGUGUUGGAGGGUUUCCGCCCUUUCAGUGCCGCAGCUAACGCAUUAAGCAUUCCGCCUGGGGAGUACGACCGCAAGGUUGAAACUCAAAGGAAUUGACGGGGGCCCGCACAAGCGGUGGAGCAUGUGGUUUAAUUCGAAGCAACGCGAAGAACCUUACCAGGUCUUGACAUCUUUUGAUCACCUGAGAGAUCAGGUUUCCCCUUCGGGGGCAAAAUGACAGGUGGUGCAUGGUUGUCGUCAGCUCGUGUCGUGAGAUGUUGGGUUAAGUCCCGCAACGAGCGCAACCCUUAUGACUAGUUGCCAGCAUUUAGUUGGGCACUCUAGUAAGACUGCCGGUGACAAACCGGAGGAAGGUGGGGAUGACGUCAAAUCAUCAUGCCCCUUAUGACCUGGGCUACACACGUGCUACAAUGGAUGGUACAACGAGUUGCGAGACCGCGAGGUCAAGCUAAUCUCUUAAAGCCAUUCUCAGUUCGGACUGUAGGCUGCAACUCGCCUACACGAAGUCGGAAUCGCUAGUAAUCGCGGAUCAGCACGCCGCGGUGAAUACGUUCCCGGGCCUUGUACACACCGCCCGUCACACCAUGAGAGUUUGUAACACCCGAAGCCGGUGGCGUAACCCUUUUAGGGAGCGAGCCGUCUAAGGUGGGACAAAUGAUUAGGGUG